rnacentral:rRNA from 1 species
GAUGAACGCUGGCGGCGUGCUUAACACAUGCAAGUCGAACGAAGCAAUCAGACGGAAGUUUUCGGAUGGAAGACUGGUUGACUGAGUGGCGGACGGGUGAGUAACGCGUGGGUAACCUGCCUCAUACAGGGGGAUAACAGUUAGAAAUGACUGCUAAUACCGCAUAAGCGCACAGUAUCGCAUGAUACAGUGUGAAAAACUCCGGUGGUAUGAGAUGGACCCGCGUCUGAUUAGCUAGUUGGUAAGGUAACGGCUCACCAAGGCGACGAUCAGUAGCCGACCUGAGAGGGUGACCGGCCACAUUGGGACUGAGACACGGCCCAGACUCCUACGGGAGGCAGCAGUGAGGAAUAUUGGGCAAUGGGGGAAACCCUGACCCAGCAACGCCGCGUGAGGGAAGACGGUUUUCGGAUUGUAAACCUCUGUCCUCUGUGAAGAUAAUGACGGUAGCAGAGGAGGAAGCUCCGGCUAACUACGUGCCAGCAGCCGCAGUAAGAC